rnacentral:rRNA from 1 species
UACGUAGGGCGCAAGCGUUAUCCGGAAUUAUUGGGCGUAAAGAGCUCGUAGGCGGUUUGUCGCGUCUGCCGUGAAAGUCCGGGGCUCAACUCCGGAUCUGCGGUGGGUACGGGCAGACUAGAGUACUGCAGGGGAGACUGGAAUUCCUGGUGUAGCGGUGGAAUGCGCAGAUAUCAGGAGGAACACCAGUGGCGAAGGCGCCUGUCUGGCUGACAACUGACGCUGAGACUCGAAAGCAUGGGGAGCAAACAGG